UACGUGAGGUGGCAAGCGUUUAUCCGGAAUUAUUGGGCGUAAAGCGCGCGCAGGUGGUUUCUUAAGUCUGAUGUGAAAGCCCACGGCUCAACCGUGGAGGGUCAUUGGAAACUUGGGAGACUUGAGUGCAGAAGAGGAAAGUGGGAAUUCCAUGUGUAGCGGUGAAAUGCGUAGAGAAUAUGGAGGAACACCAGUGGCGAAGGCAGCCCC
rnacentral:rRNA from 1 species